AAUGAACGUUGGCGGCGUGGAUUAGGCAUGCAAGUCGAGCGAGAACCGGUCUUCGGACCGGGGACAGCGGCGAAAGGGACAGUAAUGUGUAGAUUACUUGCCCCGAGGCCCGGGAUAGCUGCGGGAAACUGCAGGUAAUACCGGAUGAUAUCUCCGGAUCAAAGGUGUGAUUCCGCCUCGGGAUGGGUCUGCAUCCUAUUAGUUAGUUGGUGAGGUAACGGCUCACCAAGACUUUGAUGGGUAGCGGGUGUGAGAGCACGACCCGCGUCACUGGGACUGAGACACUGCCCAGACACCUACGGGUGGCUGCAGUCGAGAAUCUUCGGCAAUGGGCGCAAGCCUGACCGAGCGACGCCGCGUGUGGGAUGAAGGCCUUCGGGUUGUAAACCGCUGUCAGAGGGGAUGAAAUGCAGGUGGGUUCUCCCAUCUGUUUGACAUAGCCUCAGAGGAAGGACGGGCUAAGUUCGUGCCAGCAGCCGCCGUAAAAC
rnacentral:rRNA from 1 species